UCUCGAUAGUGUAAAAGCUAACUCAAAUUUGUGUGGAGCUGAAACGUUUUCCUACGUUUCCCGCUAGGGGCGCUGUUCCAACUAUAUACAAAUUUCAGUUACUUUUACGAUAUCGA
rnacentral:pre_miRNA from 9 species